GCCGAAUGCCUCCUUCGCUCGUACGGCGUCUCCCCCAACUGGGAAUUUAAUAAUCCUUCCUGAAAGUUUGGAGAUUUGCAACGAAACUGCACAAGACACAUCAAUGCCAAAAGGGAGGCUAUUGAAGUGAAGAAGAAGUACUUCAAUUUGAAACAAAGAGCUAAAAGCAAGAUCGACGGCCUCAAAAGGUCAAUGGCCACAACUUGAGAAGGGCCUCCACUCCCAGCACUGUCCAACGCGGACGAGGUCCUUUGUCAGUCUUUGGAGGGGAGGCCAGGUAUUCAUGGCCUAGAACAUGGCAUUGACACUGAUGUCAUUCAUGAUGGCGAUGUAGCUGCCGCUGCACCAGAAGGUCUGCAAGGUGAAGCACAUCACAUUGAUGAGCAAGACAACCCAGCAGAAGGUACAUCAGAAGGAUCUGAGUAAUACCUGUAGA
rnacentral:lncRNA from 1 species